CCUAUUUUAAUUUUAAAAAUGACAGUCUGCAUCCUGCAGUGUGUGUCUGCAGCAGUGGGUGGAUUCUCUGGCAAAUUUAAUAGCCACAGAAUCACACAGAGCCCUGACUAUUACCAAAUGGUGUGUGAUAAACAAACGCAGAAACUUAUUUUACUAAAAUAUUCUCUUCAUUUAGUACUUAAAUACACUAGCAGUGGCCUUUUGAAAAGCCUUGGGUCAUGGAGCAACAAUUGCUGUUGGAGUCUCUGGGCUGCUUCAUUGUUUAUUUAACUUGACAGCAAGCUAGCUACAGUUUCACAAUUUAGAUCAUUUAUUUUUAUGGUCAAAAUGUUUGUACAGUAGCAAAACAGCUUAGUGUAUCUCUGCAAUGAAAGAGUGCCCCGUUCUGCAGCUGCUCUGCCUUUCUUUAGUUGAGGCUUCGUGCAGAGUGGGUGCUUGAGAAACUUGGCAAACUGUUAGAUCAGCCAUGUGCUAGCCUGCACUGCUUUCCCUGAUGUGUGAGUAUGCAGUGCCCACAACAAGAAUACCUUGGGAAGCUCAUCCCAGAAUUGCUCACUAACAUAUCAGGUAAACCUUGGGGGAAAAAGAGAUUCUGCAAUUUCCCUUGAAUGAGAGAGCACACAGAUACAGAAGUACAAUUUAAGAGCUUCCUCAACAAUGCUAUUAAUGUGCCGGUGAUGUUAAUUUUUGUGUUAUAUAGGAAUGUUUCAUUGAACGUAAGGAAAACCAGCAAGUAAUGACAUUUUAUACCAACAGGUGCUUGGGGUGGUCAGUGAUGGAUCCUAUUGGAAUCUUCAGUGGCCUUUAGUGUUGCCUGUGAAUAUUCAUUCGCUGCAUCUGAGUCCAGUAAAUAAUGUAUCUUAAGAAAAAAUAAGAUCUCCAUCUGCUUCCUCUAGUACACUUCCACCAAAGUGCUAGGAGAGCAUAAGGAAAAGUACAGAAAAAAGAGGAAUUUUUCUUGCAGAUCUCCUAUUCUAUCCACAGCAUGAGAUUCUGUGACCUAGGGUAGUAGCACGGAGUUGAAGUCAGGAGGUUUUUGUGAGGACCCAGAAUCUGAGCAACAUCUAGACAGGACACCUAGAAAUAGGAAACCUUGGUGAGUACAAGUCUUUUGAUGUCUUUGGGGAUUUUCAGUGGCAAGAGCUGAAGCCAGCAGCCAGUAUUUGGCUCACCGGGCUUUCUGUAGAUGUGAACACCACCUACGCCAGUGGCAAACGAUGGUCCCUCAUAUUGUUCAUAAGAAGAAAGUGAGGCUUUGGUGCCAUGAAUCCACCCACUGAGAAGGUGAGUGAAUUAUGGAUGUUGUUAUAUAUCUAUAGAAAUAUCUUCAGUUAUUUGUAUGAGUUUUUCUCACUUCUUCUAUGCCCCACAGAGUCCCACUACUGCAGGAGGACUAUAGCACAGGCAGAAGUACCAGCUUGGCCCCAGGUCUACCUUUCGUGAAAGAACACGGAAGAGGAAAGAAAUGACAGUAAGACUGAAUUAUGAACUCUUAGAAGUCGAGAACAAGAACUGAUUGUAUUGUGAAAGCUGAAUUCACUACUCGCGAUUAACGCCGGCAAUAGCAGUUGGCGGUGAUCGCAUGCACGAGAUUGCUGAAGCAGAUGGAGCACAUGUAUUACUCACACAGGUUAGGAAAGACAAAAAGAAAACAUUUAUUCCAGUUUGCACUGCAAUGUUUAAAGAGCACCACAAACACAACUUUAAAAGCCUGAAUUGCUUGGAAAUUGACACCAGUGGUUCACUGCCUUCUCUGCAGCUCCCCUCAAACUCGAGACAGAGACUGUCCUAUUAUAGAAGUAGGUUUUCUUCUCCUCAGAUCUGGGCACUUCUGGCCCUGAGAUGAGUUGUGUCCCUGUCAUUGCCAUCCUACUAAAACAAAGACACCUCAGUUACUUCUUGGUUAUCUACUUGAGUCAACUAUCACCUCUCCCAGUGUCAUCCUGCUGCAAUCAAGUCUCCCAGAGGUGUUACAGCUCUUAAUUACAUUGUCUUCAGAGUGCUCAGAGGUUCACUGACAGAAGUGAUUUCAGCAUACAAGGCACGGCAGCAACAUAAACUCAUCUAGAUAGUAGAGAUGGCCACUGUUGAUGCAGAUCAAAAGCUUCCUCUGAAACUCAUGUAAUGCAGCAGGCCAGUUCACAACACCACAUUGCAGUGAAAGUUUACAUGGCGAGACUUCAUCCACAUGAUACAUGUCUUGUAUCCCUAUCCUGCUCCUAACAGGUCACCCUUUGAUCUAUUCAUUAUUCUAUUCCACGUUGAAGGGUUUCAGCUUUCCUAUACAGAAGCUGAUGAAACAAGGGGUUUUAUUGUCUCAGCCUGUUUGAUUUCCAGACUUUCAUAAAGAGGAUCAAGGAAGCAGACCAGAUGCUCAAUAGGGUAUGAUGGCUUCAGUAUCUCUUUGGUUCCAAUAUAACUCUCUUCUGGGGGUGGGUAUUCAAGCUCUAUUAGUGGCUGUUCACUUCGUAGCUUUUACUAUAUUGCAUUCUGAUUUUCUCCGUGAUCAUGGAGUGCUGCAAGAUACACUUUCUCCAGGGCAACUGUGUCAUAUGUGUGUCACAUGUUUAAUGUUAGUGCUAGAGAAGAAAGCAUGGGCAGAAAUUUAUACUAUUCAGAUCCUAGCUUCAGUUGCAAUGCUCUGUGGUAGAGAACCUUUUUCUGUUACAAUUUAUUUUUUAAGUAAAGGGAAUAUACCUCCUUGUCUCCAAAUCAUUCAGUAUCUCUUAUCUCCUGGAGAGACAAAACUAUAGUUAGAAUUAGUAGGAAGGUUACUUUUUCUUUCACCUUUGGAAAAUGUAAAAUGAGAUAGAGAAAAUUUCCUGUCAAAAUCCAGAAAAAUAGAUUUUUUCUUUCUUUCUAUAACUUGCCAGUUAAAAUGCAGUUGCUUGCUUCUUCUCUCUCUCACUGAGUUCAAAUAAGUCGUUGAAGUUGUUGUAGUAUAAUCUGCCAGGUGGCUGUGCCACACAGCCAUUUGCUUACUCCUUCCCUUCCCAGUGGGAUGUGGGAGAGGAUAAAAAAUAACAAUAACAACAAAAUCAAACUAGAGAGUUGAGAUAUAGCUAUUUACUAAGAUAGAGAAAAGGAAAGCAAUAACAGUUAUGACAAUAUACAUGUAGGUAUAUAUACACAUCAAUCUAUGUAGCAAAUGAUGCACAAACAAUUGCUCAUCACUCACCAACUGAUGCCCAGCUAGUGGAAGUGGGUCCAGCAGCGGAAGAGAAAAAGUUGAACACUCAUUCCUUUCAAAACUCCUUUUUCAUGAUGUUAUAUGGUAUGGAAUACACCGUUGGCCAGUUUAAGACAACUUUCCUAAUUCUUUUCACUCCCAGCUCCUUUGGCCUUUCACUGAGAAUGGCCUUGACUCUGUACAGUGCUGCUUAGCAGCAACUAUAAAUAUCAAUGUGUUAUCAACAUCAUUUUUCUCCUAGAACCAAAGCAUAGCAUCAUACCAGACACUUUGAAGAAAACAAUUCCAUUCCAGCUGAAAUUAAGACACAAGUUUAGAAAACUUCAGAGGUUUCUGCCCAAAGGUUUGUGGCCUGAACAAUUUACAAAGAAGCUGAUCUAUUUAAAAAUGAGUUUUCUGCUAAUUCUAUUUACAUAUGUAGAUCUGAGAUUUAGUGAGCUAAUAUUUAAUUAGAAAUAAAUAAGCAAAUAAAAACUAUAGUAUUCCCCAAAUUAUUUUGUUCUUUCCUUAGAAGACAGAGCUUCAUUUAUUCAAGAAUUAUCUCAAAAUAAUCACUUUUUCUAUGCAAUCACAUAAUGAAACUUUUCAUCAAAAGCAGCUACAUUUGCUUUUUUUGACAGAGUAAGACUUGAAGUUUGUAUCACAUCUUUAUUCUGUCAACCUCCUGAACUGAGUGCAUCAACAAAAGAGUUUUUUGAAUGUUUCUUUUUCUGGUGUUCACUAAUCUAAUAUAUAGAGUUGGAAAUCAGUUAGGGCAAGACACCGAACUUAUGAAAAAUUGAUCUGCCAAAUCUCUAUAGAGUAGAAGAAAUAUCAGGAAAAUUUAGUCUGUUGAAAGCAAUUUACUCAACUAAGAGAAUUUGAAAAUUGUGAAUGAACAGGAUCAAUAGUAAUAGGCAGGAAUGCAAACAAAAAAAAAUUUGUUUAUAUAAGUACAAUUUAUCCAGUGGUAGAUUUUCUAAAGUGAAAUGAAGUAUCUUGAAUCUUAGCAAAAGGAUUACAGCAUUUCUCAAGAUGUGGGCACACUUACUUCUCAGGCACACAGCUUUUUCCCAAACUGUGAAGGCUCUGAUUUUUUCCCUCACAUGUAGGGCUUGAUUCAGAACAAGUCCCUGCCAAAGGAAACUUCACUAGCUUCAGACUGACAGGAUACUAAAAUUAUUAGGAUAUUAAAAAACAGAGCCCUAUUGUUUAAGAAGCUCACUGUAUUUUGAGGUUGGAUCCAUGCAUUCACACUGGACAGAGGGUAUUUUGAGCUUAUAAGAGAAUUAAGAGAAGUUUAAAGCAACCUAGGUUUGGGCUAUCAGCAAAUUACACCCCUUGCUAACAUGGCAAAUCAUAGAAUCACCAAAGCUGGAAAAAACCUCCAAGAUCAUCCAGUCUAACCAUCCACCUAUCACAAAUAUUUCCCAAUAAACCUUAUCCCUCAGUACAGCAUCUGAAAUUUUCUUGAACACCUCUGGGGAUAAUGACUCAACCACUUCCUUGGGCAGCCCAUUGCAGUCUUGACCACUCUUUAAGAGAAGAAAUACCCAAAUACCCAACCUGACCCCACUUGGGCACAACUUGAGACCAUUCCAUCUUGUCCUAUCUCUAGUUACAUGGGAGAAGACACCAACUCCCACUUCACCACAACCUCCUUUCAGCAAGUUGUAGAGAGCGAUAAGGUCUGCCCUGAGCCUCUGUUUCUCCAAAAUCAUGAAAUGCCAUUAUGGUUUGUCUCAUUUACUUGACAGAUGAUGUACCUGUCUCACAGUGCAGUGCUUGGUAAGGUUGCACUUUGUUCCACUAUUCAAGAAGAUUUUGCUCGUGAAGGGUAUCACUAUGCCAUCUUCUCCCUUUAUGAUGUUAUGUAAGGCGCCCAUGAGUCUUACACUCUGGGUUUUGAUAGAGAAAUGUGAACAUGUGGAAAGUCUCUUCCUCAGCAUUUGUUUCACUGCCAUAUGCAAAAGGCAGACGCAGCUGUGGCCUGUCCAUGCCAGCUUGCCAUCAACUGGAUUAAUGUGGCUUCUGUAUUCACUCAUCUCUUUGCUCCUGCAGUAGAUCUUUUCCUGCAACUGUUAGAGAUGUUCUUCAAACUUCUGUUUCCUUUGUUAGGUUUCUUCUGGGGAGCUUAGUAGGAUCACGUUUUUUCAUUAAUCAUAAAACUGAAUAAAUAUCAAUUUCUUGAUGGUAGUGGAAAUAGGAAAAUAAAAAAAGAUAAAUAAUUGAAUUAAAACAAAAUGGGAGAUUUUCAUUUUUUUCUGGUGAAAAAAAGGAAAAAAAUGAAAUUUUUAUUUUGGGGCUUUUAUCACGUGUUGUUUGUUAUAAUGCUAACUAGUUUCAUAUACAGUAAUUCUCUUUGAUCUCAUUCGAAUUAAAAAAAAAAAAUCCAAAUUGAAAAUAUCAGUCACAAUUGAACUUUCCCAAAAGAAUAGUUCUAGUUUGGGAAAACAAUGGUAUUUUUUUGAAAUUCUAAUUCUAAUUCUAAUUCUAAUUAUUAUUAUUAUUAUUAUUUACAGGGAAACAUACAUUAUUUUGAGACACUUUUUUUUUAUUAUUUGUCAGUAUUUUUCUUUAAAUUGUCUAUUAUUAUUUAUGCAUUAUAAUUUCCCAUUGAUAUUGAAGACAAUGUUGAACUGGAUCAAAGGAAAGAAUUAACAUAGUCUUGUAAUAUGUUUCCUCCCUCCCUUCCUAUAAAUGGCUGAAACCCACAAUUAAAUGUAAAGCUUUUGUGAAGUAAGAGCUUAUUUUAGUUGCUGAUGAGGCAAAAAGUUCAUCAGGAUGGCAGGACGAACAUGAUGUCAGCAGCAGUUCUUGACAGAGUUGCAGAACAGCAUUGCUAUUUCUGGGUUUUCAUUCAGAAGCAUGAAUGAUUGAUUGCAUUCUACAUUGCUUUCCAUUUUCAUAAAUUAUUGUAAAAUUAUAUAUUAAAAGAGUGAGAUCUUUAAAUGCAGAGGAAAGGGGAAAAUGCAGUCUGUUUGGAGAUUUAGAUUCAGAUAAUAUUUCCAGAUCUGAAUUUUCUUGUCCCACUGUUGUCUGUGUGUUUUUGUGAGUGACCUGUGUUCACCUCGUUUGUUGCAUCAGUCAUCUCUGCACAGAUCAAUGCAGCUGUUUGUCUCAUUAUUACCUUGAUGAGAUUAAUUAUCUCUGAUUAUGUUCGUCUGCUAACAUGCACAUUCUGCUAGUAUUGUAUAACAGAGGAAGUUAGAAUUUUUACCCUCUGAAAAACACCUUGCAUUCUGUUGAAAGAUAUAUUCAUUUUUUAAAGAGGUCUUACGUGAAGAAAAGAAAUGGUGUUUUUUUGUUUUUUUUUUCUUCUCUGUUGAAUAUUUGGGGUGGAAAAUAUUUAAAAAAUACAAUUUAGUGUUGUAAACUUCCUUAUAAAUGCCAAAAAGCUGAUAGAAAUAUGACAUUUCUGAUGUCUGAAGAUCUUUCUUAAAAGUCUAUUGUUUGUACUGCCCUGAUAAUGCAAGCAUUAUGAGAUAAAGAGCUCCGGAUUGGGUCAUAAAGGCAAUCUGAAGGACCCUGCUUUGUUCAAGAAGGAAUGUGGACAUUCUCAACCUGGAGACCUCCACAAAGGAGGGCCUGAGUUUGACUUCCCAGUAAUACCUAGCACCAAGAAAGUACACUGUUGAUGACAUCUUUCACUCCUUCCAUCAGAUGGGAUGAAAAGCACUCUUUAGCUGGCUGUUUCUAUCUACAUGAGACUCUAUUUCCACCUCCCAUCUGCCUUCUUGAUAUACUUCUGCAAAUGUUCCCACUGUUCUUUUAUGGCACUGGGUCACUUUUGCAGAAUUUGCUUGACUGUGUUAAGCUCAGCUUUUGUGCUAUUGUCCUCAGCAUUGCCUCUUAAGGCCACAUAAGACAAAAUGUAGUUUUAGCUUUGCUUUACUUAGGUGACUGAAAUACAGAGUAAAAUUUCCUCCUUCAGGAAGAGGAACAAUGCCUGGAGAAACCAUGCUGGAAAAUGUGUUGGAGCUGCCUUACAGUGAGAUCUAUCCCAGUCUCAACAAAUCCCAAAGGAUUUGUAAAUUUCCCAGCUAGGAAUUACUUUAUAGUUUUCUUCUUCUUGUUUAAGGAUAGGUAAGAAAGCUACUCCCUUCAUUGUUUCUUUCCCCAGACAAGCUUCAUAUGUUUUCAUUUUCCAUUCAUGAGGACAGUACACUGUACAGUGAGUUAAUGCUUUGGCUUUCCAUCUUCAACGCAUUUUGUCUUAUGAAUAUAAAUGCACAGAACACAGCCAGAGAAUCCAUUCCUGCCAGAUUUUCACAAGUGUGGCAUGGAGUCUCUUUCACAUCACUGAAGAAAAAGCAUAGCUAAUGGUGGUGACUAUGUUGAAAAAUGAGUGUUCUGUACCUGAGAACAUGAUCUACCAAACAGUGUUACUAUGCUUUCUGUAGCUGUUGUAGUUUCCAUGGAAAUAAAUAGGAGGCAUUACUUUCAGAACAACCUUAACAUGGAUACAGUAAUUCAGACUGGAACUCAAGUCAGAACACCACACUGGGACAUCAUGACUACAGCUCACUGGGAAUAGUGCCAUCUGAUGAAUCACCAAAAAGUCUGCCAGCAGACAUCCUUGCAGUCUUGAACUCAGUUCUGCUGAUACAUCUGCAUAACCUUGACAAGCAUUAUGGAGAGCAUAGAUUUCUCCGUUUCUGACUCACAAAGGUAAUAACAAGAAAUCAAACUAAUUCUGGUCAUAAUCUACCCUGAAUUGCAGCUCCCACCAGCUUGCUGAAGGUCGUCACUUUUAUCCUUGGAGCCGUGUUUUCCCUCUUGUGUCAGCACAGCAUGCUGAAACAGCCGGGGCAUUCUUGGGUGUUCACUGACUGCUUUCUGACCAUAUAUUUUAUUGACAGUGUUAACUAAAAGCAUUUUAAAGGAGCUUCCCAGAAGGAUAAAGAAGUUAUUAGUGACUGAACCAUGAAGACUUCAGAAUCAAGGUCACAACUGCACAGAAGCAUGGAGUGAAGUACAUACACUCUGAGAACUGUAAACAUGGAUAUUUAAGCAUUUGCAGCACCUACAACUUUUGCUGCUGCUCUGUGAAAUACAGCUUCGUUUGCUGGUGAAUCAGUCUUAUAAAAAUGGUAAUUGUGAAGUGCAGUUGCUAGCUGUAUCAGGAGAAAAGGGAUUUUACGUGUA